GACGAACGCUGGCGGCGUGCUUAACACAUGCAAGUCGAACGGAACGUCCCUGCUUUUGUGGGGUGCUCGAGUGGCGAACGGGUGAGUAACACGUGAGUAACCUGCCCUUGACUUUGGGAUAACUUCAGGAAACUGGGGCUAAUACCGGAUAGGAGCUCCUGCUUCAUGGUGGGGGUUGGAAAGUUUCGGCGGUUGGGGAUGGACUUGCGGCUUAUCAGCUUGGUGGUGGGGUAGUUGCUUACCAAGGCUUUGACGGGUAGCCGGCCUGAGAGGGUGACCGGCCACAUUGGGACUGAGAUACGGCCCAGACUCCUACGGGAGGCAGCAGUGGGGAAUAUUGCACAAUGGGCGGAAGCGUGAUGCAGCAACGCCGCGUGCGGGAUGACGGCCUUCGGGUUGUAAAACGCUUUCGCCUGUGACGAAGCGUGAGUGACGGUAAUGGGUAAAGAAGCACCGGCUAACUACGUG
rnacentral:rRNA from 1 species